GACUGGAUAGCCUAGUGGUCAAAGGCCAGUGCUUCUAGCAAUGAUGGGGUCCCAGGUUUGAAUCCUGGUCUAGUCA
rnacentral:tRNA from 1 species